CGACGGGCCAGGGUCACCCCUGCGCGCCGCCUCCGUCCCGGGCCGGCCCCGGCUCCGCUGUGGGGGUAGAAUUCCCUGUGGGAAGGGCCCUCGGGAGGUCGGGGCUGCCUCAACGCCCCUGGCCGCGGGCAAUGUGGGAGCCGCGGGGCGGCCCCUGCCCGCUGGUCCCACCUGUGACUUGCCUCUGCUCGCUUUUGGGUGGGUUGGGUCGGGUUUGGGAUCUUUUAUCAAGGAGGCCCAGAUCGAGGGGAGGAGGGAACGGAGCUGGGGAAGGGUCUGGAGCACGUCCUAUGGGGAGCGGCUGAGGGAGCUGGAGGUGUUCAGCCUGGAGAAAAGGAGGCUCAGGGAGGGCCUUAUCAUUCUCUACGAUACCUGAACGGAGGUUGUAGGCAGGUGGGGAUCGAUCCCUUCUCCCAGGCAACAAGCAACACGGCAAGAAGAUAUCGUUUUAAGCUUCGCUGAGGGAGGUUUAGGUAGGACAUUAGGAGGAAUUUCUUCGCGGAAAGGGUGAUUUAACGCUGGAAUGGGCUGCCCUGAGAGGUGGUGGAGUCACCAUCCCUGAAGGUGUUCAGGGAAAGACUGGAUGUGGCACCAGUGCCAUGGUCAAGUUGAUGUGGUGGUGUUGGGUCACAGGUUGGACUUAAUGAUCUCAGAGGUCUUUUCUGACCUGAUGGAUUCUGUGGUUCCAUCUGUGUGUUAGUGGAAUUUGAAGCAUAUCACAGAGAUGUGCCAUUGAGGUUGCCCUGCCCAGAUGCCCAGCUUUGGCACCUGUCCAGCUGUACAGAGGGCCAGCUCAGUUUAUUACCUGGAACACUGGGUGUGCAAGAUGAACUAGCAUUUUGUACUGUGAGCUGAGUGCCAGAGACAGCACCAAGAAUGGAGCCUUGAAGAGCUGGGGAACAACACAGCCACUUUCAAGGCCAGCAGACUGUUGUACUGCUUCAUCUGUAUUACCUACUACACCCUAAAAAGCCUGUAUGUGCCUGCUGCUAUGGAUGGCUGUCUCUUACAGGAGAGGACAGCUCUGCUCAAAGCUGUAGUUCUG